GCAGUCGUGGCCGAAUGGUUAAGGCGAUGGACGUGAAAUCCAUUGGGGUUUCCCCGCACAGGUUCGAAUCCUGUCGGCUGCG
rnacentral:tRNA from 1 species